UGAGCCAUUUUACUCUCUUAUAUACCCGCGGAGCCACACCGCCAGAGCCACCGCAGGAAUCAAGAAGAGCCAGUAGGACAGCUUUUUCUACUGUGCAUUCACUCAGGAAAAGCAAAGAGAAGGAAGGACGAUGUUCUCCGUCCCUGACUGACUACUCCAUCUAUGGCAAAUAAGAACAAGCAGAUAAGGCUCCACGGACAGAGACUCGGUGAUGAGAAGAAGGCAGACAAAACCACAGGCAUGAGUGAACACAAAUGACUUGUGAUGCAACAGAUAAACCUGCCUCCUGACUGACAGCCAACCCUCUGUUAGUUCUCUAAUGAUUACUGCUUCUUGAAGGAAACCUUUAGACAGACGUUCAAAGAGCCUGCAAUCCGCUGGUUAAAGGGAAAAACAGAGAAAAAUAUGAUGCAGCAUUGUUCUUCACAGGUCGAGGCAGUCUGAUUUGAGCUCUGAGAAAGCAGGAGAGGGAAAAGAGCAAACAUCAAAGAAGAACGAAAGAGGAAGGAAGAAGGAAAAGAAUACAAAAAGAUGUGAGAAACAAAGAGAACUCUGGCAGUGUGCAACAAGCAUCCCUGCUUCUCAUUUCGAGGUCACUGUGAUGGAAAUUAUUGUCCUGCAGCCAGAUGCCUCAGUCCUUUUCAAACCUGUGGAGUUGAGCCAGGCGGCCCAAUCCACGUGUUGGUGGGGAAGCUGUGAGAAAGAGCUUGGUCCGCAAACAGAAGGAAGGAAGGAAGGAGCCCUGACGAAGCAAUAUCAGAUAAUCACAGUUGCUCAGAGUUAAGACAGAAAACUGAAUUUUUAUAUAUAUUUUUUGAGACAAAAAUGCAGAUUUUAUUUAUCUGUUUCUGGACUUUAACAAAAUUAAAAGAAUAAUACUGAAUAAAAAUAU